CCUACGGGUGGCAGCAGUGAGGAAUAUUGGUCAAUGGGCGCGAGCCUGAACCAGCCAAGUAGCGUGAAGGAUGACUGCUCUACGGGUUGUAAACUUUUUUUAUAAAGGAAUAAAUUGAGGCACGUGCGUCUUUUUGUACGUACUUUAUGAAUAAGGAUCGGCUAACUCCGUGCCAGCAGCCGCGGUAAUACGGAGGAUCCGAGCGUUAUCCGGAUUUAUUGGGUUUAAAGGGAGCGUAGAUGGGUUGUUAAGUCAGUUGUGAAAGUUUGCGGCUCAACCGUAAAAUUGCAAUUGAUACUGGCAGCCUUGAGUACAGGUGAGGUAGGCGGAAUUCGUGGUGUAGCGGUGAAAUGCUUAGAUAUCACGAAGAACUCCGAUUGCGAAGGCAGCUUACUAAACGGCCACUGACAUUGAUGCUCGAAAGUGUGGGUAUCAAACAGGAUUAGAUACCCGGGUAGUC
rnacentral:rRNA from 1 species